rnacentral:rRNA from 1 species
AUAGGGGAGCCGGAGGGAAACCGAGUCUUAAUUGGGCGUUAAGUUGCAGGGUAUAGACCCGAAACCCGGUGAUCUAGCCAUGGGCAGGUUGAAGGUUGGGUAACACUAACUGGAGGACCGAACCGACUAAUGUUGAAAAAUUAGCGGAUGACCUGUGGCUGGGGGUGAAAGGCCAAUCAAACCGGGAGAUAGCUGGUUCUCCCCGAAAGCUAUUUAGGUAGCGCCUCGUGAAUUCAUCUCCGGGGGUAGAGCACUGUUUCGGCUAGGGGGCCAUCCCGGCUUACCAACCCGAUGCAAACUGCGAAUACCGGAGAAUGUUAUCACGGGAGACACACGGCGGGUGCUAACGUCCGUCGUGAAGAGGGAAACAACCCAGACCGCCAGCUAAGGUCCCAAAGUCAUGGUUAAGUGGGAAACGAUGUGGGAAGGCCCAGACAGCCAGGAUGUUGGCUUAGAAGCAGCCAUCAUUUAAAGAAAGCGUAAUAGCUCACUGGUCGAGUCGGCCUGCGCGGAAGAUGUAACGGGGCUAAACCAUGCACCGAAGCUGCGGCAGCGACGCUUAUGCGUUGUUGGGUAGGGGAGCGUUCUGUAAGCCGUUGAAGGUGGCCUGUGAGGGUUGCUGGAGGUAUCAGAAGUGCGAAUGCUGACAUAAGUAACGAUAAAGCGGGUGAAAAGCCCGCUCGCCGGAAGACCAAGGGUUCCUGUCCAACGUUAAUCGGGGCAGGGUGAGUCGACCCCUAAGGCGAGGCCGAAAGGCGUAGUCGAUGGGAAACGGGUUAAUAUUCCCGUACUUGGUGUUACUGCGAAGGGGGGACGGAGAAGGCUAUGUUGGCCGGGCGACGGUUGUCCCGGUUUAAGCGUGUAGGUGUGUGUUCCAGGUAAAUCCGGUU